rnacentral:rRNA from 1 species
UGCAAGUCGUACGCUUCUUUUUCCACCGGAGCUUGCUCCACCGGAAAAAGANGAGUGGCGAACGGGUGAGUAACACGUGGGUAACCUGCCCAUCAGAAGGGGAUAACACUUGGAAACAGGUGCUAAUACCGUAUAACAAUCGAAACCGCAUGGUUUUGAUUUGAAAGGCGCUUUCGGGUGUCGCUGAUGGAUGGACCCGCGGUGCAUUAGCUAGUUGGUGAGGUAACGGCUCACCAAGGCCACGAUGCAUAGCCGACCUGAGAGGGUGAUCGGCCACAUUGGGACUGAGACACGGCCCAAACUCCUACGGGAGGCAGCAGUAGGGAAUCUUCGGCAAUGGACGAAAGUCUGACCGAGCAACGCCGCGUGAGUGAAGAAGGUUUUCGGAUCGUAAAACUCUGUUGUUAGAGAAGAACAAGGAUGAGAGUAACUGUUCAUCCCUUGACGGUAUCUAACCAGAAAGCCACGGCUAACUACGUG